AGAACGAACGCUGGCGGCAGGCUUAACACAUGCAAGUCGAGCGCCCAGCAAUGGGAGCGGCGGACGGGUGCGUAACACGUGGGAACAUGCCUUUCGGUACGGAACAACUGCGGGAAACUGCAGCUAAUGCCGUAUACGCCCUUACGGGGAAAGAUUUAUCGCCGAAAGAUUGGCCCGCGUCUGAUUAGCUAGUUGGUGAGGUAACGGCUCACCAAGGCUUCGAUCAGUAGCUGGUUUGAGAGAACGACCAGCCACACUGGGACUGAGACACGGCCCAGACUCCUACGGGAGGCAGCAGUGGGGAAUCUUGGACAAUGGGCGAAAGCCUGAUCCAGCCAUGCCGCGUGAGUGAUGAAGGCCUUCGGGUUGUAAAACUCUUUACCUGGGAAGAUAAUGACUGUACCAGGAGAAUAAGCCCGGCUAACUUCGUGCCAGCAGCCGC
rnacentral:rRNA from 1 species